rnacentral:rRNA from 1 species
AGGACGAACGCUGGCGGCGUGCUUAACACAUGCAAGUCGAGCGGAAAGGCCCUUCGGGGUACUCGAGCGGCGAACGGGUGAGUAACACGUGAGUAAUCUGCCCCUAGCUCUGGGAUAGCUCCGGGAAACCGGGAUUAAUACCAGAUACGACCACUUUAGACAUCUUUUGUGGUGGAAAGAAUUUCGGCUAGGGAUGAACUCGCGGCCUAUCAGCUUGUUGGUGAGGUAACGGCUCACCAAGGCGACGACGGGUAGCCGGCCUGAGAGGGCGACCGGCCACACUGGGACUGAGACACGGCCCAGACUCCUACGGGAGGCAGCAGUGGGGAAUAUUGCGCAAUGGGCGAAAGCCUGACGCAGCGACGCCGCGUGGGGGAUGAAGGCCUUCGGGUUGUAAACUCCUGUCAGUGGGAAGAGAAUGGACGGUACCCACUGAGGAAGCUUCGGCUAACUACGCGCCAGCAGCCGC